AGCGGAUAUAACUCUCAUGCUGGAGUGCCGAGAGUUAGAAACGUUCCGGCGCUGUAGGAUGUGGCUGCGGCCGAUUAGGUAGAUGGUGGGGUAACGGCCCACCAUGCCGAUAAUCGGUACAGGUUUGUGAGAGCAAGAGCCUGGAGACGGUAUCUGAGACAAGAUACCGGGCCCUACGGGGCGCAGCAGGCGCGAAACCUUUACACUGCACGACAGUGCGAUAGGGGGACUCCGAGUGUGAGGGCAUAUAG
rnacentral:rRNA from 1 species